rnacentral:rRNA from 1 species
AUUGAACGCUGGCGGCAGGCUUAACACAUGCAAGUCGAGCGAGCGGCGGACGGGUGAGUAAUGUAUGGGGAUCUGCCUGAUAGAGGGGGAUAACUACUGGAAACGGUGUCUAAUACCGCAUACCAUCGGAUGUACCCAUAUGGGAUUAGCUAGUAGGUGGGGUAAGGGCUCACCUAGGCGACGAUCCCUAGCUGGUCUGAGAGGAGGACCAGCCACACUGGAAAUGAGACACGGCCCAGACUCCUACGGGAGGCAGCAGUGGGGAAUAUUGCACAAUGGGCGCAAUCCUGAUGCAGCCAUGCCGCGUGUAUGAAGAAGGCCUUAGGGUUGUAAAGCACUGUCAGCGGGGAGGCGUUACCCGCAGAAGAAGCACCGGCUAACUCCGUGCCAGCAGCCGCGGUAAUAC